UGCUUACAAUUCUGUUCUUCUAAUAUAUGUUAUGAUAAAUUCUAGUUCUGAUUCUCAGAGACAUGAAAACUUGUUUCCAUCAUGUUUAUAUUGAUGGAUGAAAUGUAUGAUUUGGUUCAGCAGCUUGUUGAAAAUGUUGUAGAAAAUCAUCUAAUAUUUUGAGUCAUAUUUCAGAGUAACUGAAUGUUUCUUAUCUUCAUACAGAUGAAAUUUGUUCUUUUUACUUUGUUCCUUUGUGGAUUCAUCCUGGAAAUCAAUGGAAAAAGUUCAUCAGGAGGUUUGUGCUUUAAUCUUUCUGGUGUUUUGAGUUCACAAGGUGGCGCUGCAGGUUUUAGUAUGAAGACAAGCUGGGCAUGAAGGCUGAUGUUGAAUGUUCAUCAUUUAUUGGAUCUAAAACUGUUAAACAUGAAUUUAUCUUUAGUUCGUGGGUGUUUGGACUUUUCUGUGUCCUGAUAUGAAUAUGAUCUGAAUGUCUCAUAUGCAGCAUGCCUCCCAGAGGAAAAAUCCCUUGUUGCCUGUGAAGGAACAGUGGCUCGACUCCACUGUGAAGAAGGUCAGGCUAUCUAUGUGACCAGUGCUACAUACGGACGCAAUGAUAAGAAGACUUGCAGCGCUCGUAGACCGGCCGACCAGCUAAAGAACACUGAAUGCUUCACAUACGCAGAGGAAGUUUUUGAGAGAUGCAACGGGAAACAGUGGUGUAAAGUCAAAGCCAGUAACUAUGUGUUCGGAGAUCCCUGCUAUGGAACCUACAAGUACCUGGAGGUGGAAUAUAUUUGUUACGAGGUUCCCCAGUCGUGCCCAGAAUAGAAGCAGAAGUCGCCUUCUUCAUCAGGAUGCUGAUGAAGACUCUGGUGCUGCUGCCCCAACAGAUGAUGGCUGACGACAACAAACUGAGAGAAGAUCUGCAGCAUCUUGUUGAAAACCUGGAAGGAUCUUAGCGUCCUCAAGAAGCUGACAGAAAAUAAUCUGAAUUACAAUUAAACAUAACAAAUAAAGUAAUAUCACAGAUUAUAGCUUUGAAAAUCUUUUUAUUUUUCUUCCUGUUGUAUCAAACUUAAAGACAGUUUUUCUCUCCAACUGCUUCUCUUUGUAAACUUCUUCAGCCAAAAUAAAACAAAAAGCUGAAAGAGGAA